CUGACUGCUAUCGGAUUGAUACUAAGCCAUGCGAGUCAUUGUAGCAAUACAAGGCAGACGGCUCAGUAACGCGUAGUCAACCUACCCUAUGGACGGGAAUAACCUCGGGAAACUGAGAAUAAUGCCCGAUAGAACAUUAUACCUGGAAUGGUUUAUGUUCCAAAUGAUUUAUCGCCGUAGGAUGGGACUGCGGCCUAUCAGUUUGUUGGUGAGGUAAUGGCCCACCAAGACUAUUACAGGUACGGGCUCUGAGAGGAGUGGCCCGGAGAUGGGUACUGAGACACGGACCCAGGCCCUAUGGGGCGCAGCAGGCGAGAAAACUUUGCAAUGUGCGAAAGCACGACAAGGUUAAUCCGAGUGGUUUCUGCUAAAGGAACCUUUUGACAGUCCUAGAAACACUGUUGAAUAAGGGGUGGGCAAGUUCUGGUGUCAGCCGCCGCGGUAAAACCAGCACCUCAAGUGGUCAGGAUGAUUAUUGGGCCUAAAGCAUCCGUAGCCGGCUCUGUAAGUUUUCGGUUAAAUCUGUACGCUUAACGUACAGGCUGCUGGGAAUACUGCAGAGCUAGGGAGUGGGAGAGGUAGACGGUACUCGGGAGGAAGUGGUAAAAUGCUUUGAUCUCUCGAUGACCACCUGUGGCGAAGGCGGUCUACCAGAACAUGUCCGACGGUGAGGGAUGAAAGCUGGGGGAGCAAACCGGAUUAGAUACCCGGGUAGUCCCAGCUGUAAACUAUGCAAACUCAGUGAUGCACUGGCUUGUGGCCAGUGCAGUGUUGCAGGGAAGCCGUUAAGUUUGCCGCCUGGGAAGUACGUACGCAAGUAUGAAACUUAAAGGAAUUGGCGGGGGAGCACCACAA
rnacentral:rRNA from 1 species